UAUAAUUCACUAGACUGAUGAGAAUACGUGAACUUAACGACAUGCGUGUCAAAUAUUGGUAUAUGUGAAUUGAAUAGCCGAAAUUGGGGGAAGAAAAAGAUUGCAUGUGGAUUUCAUUUAUGAGCCGCAAGCGUGAAAAGGUUUCUUUUGUCGUCUUCUACUCAUCUCUGUAGGUGUCUUCUACUCACCUCUGUAGGUUGGACUUUUGGACUUGGGAAAUAAAUGGAGGAAAGUGGACGGUGGCCCAUUUGCGUUAAAUGUUGAAGCAUGCAAGGAUGGGUGUGGAGCUGUUUCGGUCUUCCCUAAAUUAAUGUGUUCCCUUUCUUGUCUUUUGCCAAAACCAUCGUUGUUGACUUUGAGAGAGAAAGAAAUAGAAGAGGAAAGAAGGUCCUACGUUCAUCCAUCUUUUAAUAAAUGCACGCCCAUAAAUUAUGGUGGGCUUCCUUGUGAAGACUUCCUUGUGCUGCAAUAAAUGAUGGAGACUCUCUUUUGUAUUAUAAAAGAGAGAUGUCCAACGGAGGAGCG
rnacentral:lncRNA from 1 species